rnacentral:rRNA from 1 species
GUAGGUGGCAAGCGUUGUCCGGAACUAUUGGGCGUAAAGCGCGCGCAGGGCGGUCCUUUAAGUCUGAUGUGAAAGCCCACGGCUCAACCGUGGAGGGUCAUUGGAAACUGGGGGACUUGAGUACAGAAGAGGAAAGCGGAAUUCCAAGUGUAGCGGUGAAAUGCGUAGAGAUUUGGAGGAACACCAGUGGCGAAGGCGGCUUUCUGGUCUGUAACUGACGCUGAGGCGCGAAAGCGUGGGGAGCAAACAGGAUUAGAUACCCUGGUAGUCCACGCCGUAAACGAUGAGUGCUAAGUGUUAGGGGGUUUCCGCCCCUUAGUGCUGCAGCUAACGCAUUAAGCACUCCGCCUGGGGAGUACGGCCGCAAAGGCUG